rnacentral:rRNA from 1 species
ACUCCUACGGGAGGCAGCAGUGGGGAAUUUUGGACAAUGGGCGAAAGCCUGAUCCAGCAAUGCCGCGUGUGUGAAGAAGGCCUUCGGGUUGUAAAGCACUUUUGUCCGGAAAGAAAUCCUUGGCUCUAAUACAGCCGGGGGAUGACGGUACCGGAAGAAUAAGCACCGGCUAACUACGUGCCAGCAGCCGCGGUAAUACGUAGGGUGCAAGCGUUAAUCGGAAUUACUGGGCGUAAAGCGUGCGCAGGCGGUUUGCUAAGACCGAUGUGAAAUCCCCGGGCUCAACCUGGGAACUGCAAUUCGGUGACUGGGCAAGGCUAGAGUAUGGCAGAGGGGGUAGAAUUCCACGUGUAGCAGUGAAAUGCGGUAGAGAUGUGGAGGAAUACCGAUGGCGAAAGGCAGCCCCCUGGGCCAAUACUGACGCUCAUGCACGAAAGCGUGGGGAGCAAACCAGG